CCUACGGGAGGCAGCAGUGGGGAAUAUUGGACAAUGGGCGCAAGCCUGAUCCAGCCAUGCCGCGUGUGUGAAGAAGGCCUUCGGGUUGUAAAGCACUUUCAGUAGGGAGGAAGGCUUACUGCUAAUAACGGUGAGUACUUGACGCUACCUACAGAAGAAGCCCCGGCUAACUCCGUGCCAGCAGCCGCGGUAAU
rnacentral:rRNA from 1 species